CCUACGGGCGGCAGCAGUGGGGAAUAUUGGAGAAUGGGGGGAACCCUGAUCCAGCCAUGCCGCGUGUGUGAAGAAGGCCCGCGGGUUGUAAAGCACUUGCAGUGAGGAAGAACGCCUGGUGGUUAAUACCCAUCAGGAAAGACAUCACUCACAGAAGAAGCACCGGCUAACUCCGUGCCAGCAGCCGCGGUAAUACGGAGGGUGCGAGCGUUAAUCGGAAUUACUGGGCGUAAAGCGCGCGUAGGUGGCUUGAUAAGCCGGUUGUGAAAGCCCCGGGCUCAACCUGGGAACGGCAUCCGGAACUGUCAAGCUAGAGUGCAGGAGAGGAAGGUAGAAUUCCCGGUGUAGCGGUGAAAUGCGUAGAGAUCGGGAGGAAUACCAGUGGCGAAGGCGGCCUUCUGGACUGACACUGACACUGAGGUGCGAAAGCGUGGGUAGCAAACAGGAUUAGAUACCCUGGUAGUC
rnacentral:rRNA from 1 species